ACAGACAGAGAGCUUGCUCUCUUGAAGUUAGUGGCGAACGGGUGAGUAACGCGUAAUCAACCUGCCCUUCAGAGGGGGAUAACAACGGGAAACCGUUGCUAAUACCGCGUACGAUUCACAGGCGGCAUCGCUUGUGAAUGAAAGGUGGCCUCUAUGUAUAAGCUAUCGCUGAAGGAGGGGAUUGCGUCUGAUUAGCUAGUUGGAGGGGUAACGGCCCACCAAGGCAAUGAUCAGUAGCCGGUCUGAGAGGAUGAACGGCCACAUUGGGACUGAGACACGGCCCAAACUCCUACGGGAGGCAGCAGUGGGGAAUCUUCCGCAAUGGACGAAAGUCUGACGGAGCAACGCCGCGUGAGUGAUGAAGGUCUUCGGAUUGUAAAGCUCUGUUAAUCGGGACGAAAGAGUUCUGUGUGAAUAAUGCAGAAAAGUGACGGUACCGGAAUAGAAAGCCACGGCUAACUACGUGCCAGCAGCCGCGGUAAUACGUAGGUGGCAAGCGUUGUCCGGAAUUAUUGGGCGUAAAGCGCGCGCAGGCGGCCUAUCCAGUCUGUCUUAAAAGUUCGGGGCUCAACCCCGUGAUGGGAUGGAAACUAGUAGGCUAGAGUAUCGGAGAGGAAAGCGGAAUUCCUAGUGUAGCGGUGAAAUGCGCAGAUAUUAGGAAGAACACCAGUGGCGAAGGCGGCUUUCUGGACGAAAACUGACGCUGAGGCGCGAAAGCCAGGGGAGCGAACGGGAUUAGAUACCCCGGUAGUCCUGGCCGUAAACGAUGGGUACUAGGUGUAGGAGGUAUCGACCCCUUCUGUGCCGG
rnacentral:rRNA from 1 species